AUGUGCCCGACGCGUCCGGUGCGCACCCAUAACACGCACCGGUCGCGCCCGGCUCGCCACCGCGCGUCAUUCGCCACGCUCCGCACGUCUCCAGCUCGCGCCAUGAUCGCGCUCCGACGCGAUCAACGCGGCCGAUCCGGCAUGUCCAGGAGCUUGGCCUUCUCUCCGCCGAGCCACGCCGCGCCACCGCAGCCUCUGCGCCACCACGCAGGUACGCCGCAUGCACGGCAUCACCGUGCUCCGCCGCCGCACGGGACGAGCGCCAUCACCGGCGAGCUCCUCCGAACCCGAUGCUCCGAUACCAAAUGUUGUUGCCGUGGCCUUGCUGAACCCUAG
rnacentral:rRNA from 1 species